CAGGCACAUGCUCAGUCAUAUCACAUAUAAGCAGAGCCUGAGGCUGCUCUUAAUCACAUCCUUUUAUCCGUGUGUCUACUAUAAAAGGCUGGCAAGACAGAGGGUCCAGCCUGAGGUGUCACCAACUGAAGACUGGCAGAGGAAAACCCAGACUGUGAACUACUGAGCCAAAACUUGUGGGAGGAUUUAAAUAACAACAAUACGCUGUGAAUCCUGCUGGAAGAGCCCAGUGUUGUGAUUUGAAGCCUCUGCCUUUUUUUCCAAGAAUAAGGAGAGACCGAAGAUACAGAGGGGGAGGAGGAAGAAAUCAUGUAUUACAUAUGUUUACAGAAAGAAAGAACAGAAAAGAAAACGUGAAGUAUAGCUAAAGGACAAAAGCAAAAAAAAAAAAAAGCAAUCAAAAGAAACCGUGUAACAAAAGGAAGUUCUACACAAACAGAAGAAGAAAGAAGUAUAGAAAACCGUGCAUUGAAGUUGAGCUAUAUCCCAUCCAGUGUCUACUAAGAAACAGAAGAUGUUGAGUACAGCUAGCCAGAACCCUUUACUUUGGCCAUUGAUGUCCAGCCUACUGCUCUUAAUGCCCUUGGUGCCUCCUAAUGGGGCAGAUGAACCUAACUGCCAAGGAGCCUUUGACCUUUACUUCGUGCUGGACAGGUCAGUACUAGCCUAAUAUUGGGCGAUGCAUAAAUGUGCGCAAUGGGUGUAACUGUACAUACUCCAAUGAGGGCAAACUUUCGUUCUCUGUGGACACUUUCAAUGAUUUAUUUUGUAUUAUUAUUUAUAUAGCGCCAACAAAUUCCGCUUUACAAUGGACGGACUAACAAACAUGUAAUUGUAACCAGACAAGUUGGAUGCACAGGGACAGAGGGGUUGAGGGCCCUGCUCAAUGAGCUUACAUGCUAGAGGGGGGUGGGGGGUAUAGUGACACAAAAGGUAAGGAUAGUAUUAGAGAAGUAGAUUGGUAGAAUAAUAUUCGCUGAAGACUUAGUGUUUUAUUUUUUGUUUUGUUUUUUAUGACAGUUGCAGGAGAGGAGUCAGUUAGGAGCUAUUAACAGUUUAAUUUAUACGGUUUUGAGAAGAACAUUUUUAAUGAUUUUUUGAAGGAGUGCAUGAGUUAGGGUUACUUUACAAAGACAAAAUACUAAUAUCUCUAUAUAUUUGGUUAUCACGAGAGAGAAAGUUUUUUUCAAUUCUUUUUUUUUUCAGUAACGUUUAGGUGGGUGCACACCCUUAAUGUAAUGUGAUGCUCAUGCCCUCAGAUACAUGCAGAGAUCCAGUAAGGUCAUGAUAGGGUUAUUGUGUGCUGAAGGUGGGGGCAGUGUGCUGGGCUUUCGUGUGUUGGAGAAUUCUGCUUGUGCUAUUCUGAUUGUGUGUGUGAGCUCUGUACAGAGGAGCUCUUCUCUACUCCCCUGAGUGCACGAGAGGUUAAGCAGAUGUCUGCCACAAAGCAUGCUUUUGCCCUUCCUAGUUAUGCUAGGCUACAUCAUGCAGUGGGAAUGAAUAUGACUGAAGCAUUCUCUUUUCCAGAACAUCUGCCUGUUUCAUAUUGACAGUGUUUUAAUGUAACAAUAACUUUUUUAACAUAACAGAGUUAGUUAGAGUUAGUGCCUUCUUCAGCUUAGAAACAUGUCUUAAAAUUUCAAAAAUAUAAAAGCAUAUAUAAAAAGUAAACUGACAGUGGGAAAAUGGUGGUUAAACAUUUUGUGCAUAAUUAUUGGUACAAUACAACAGCACAUUAAAGGGACACUCAAUGAGGUUGUCUGGAUACAGUGGCCCUGUCCUUAACCGUGCAGUUUAAAACAUUGCAGUUUGUUUUAGGAAUGUUCACAUUGCAGGGUAAAAUCUACCCCUUGUGGCUGUCUUCCUGAUAGUAAAACUCUGUCACAUGAUGCAGAAGCCAAUAGAAAAGUAUUUAAAGGGACACUGUAGGCACCCAGACAACUUCAGCUAACUGAAGUGAUCUGGGUGCUGUGACGCUUUUGCACUUAGUGCUGCAAUGUAAAACAUUGCAGUUCCAGAGAACUGCAAUGUUUACAUUGCAGCUCUAAGACUGCCCCCAGUGGCUGCCUGUCAGACAGCCACUGGUCAGCGUUUCCUGAAUCCAAAUGUACUUUUGGUCUGAUAUCUGUUGCUGGACGUCCUUACGGACCUCCAGCAUCAGAUUUUCCCCAUAGGAAAGCAUUGAACAUUUACACCUAUAUUAUUGACAAAAUUAUUUAGUCUAAUCUCAAGUUUUACAUCCUAUCUGAAAGAUACAGGUCAGUAAAAUUAGUAGUUGAUUUUACUUUUGGUCACUAAACAUGGAAACACUAUAACACUUUGUCCGCCAUUUUGUUUUCUUGUUUAUUCCCGUUGUUUUAUUGUUUCUUUGUGGGUAGGCCUUGUUUACCAUGUAAUGGAAUUCAAAAGUGCUUUUACGCUUUUAAAAUGGUUUGAUUACCAUAAGGGAUGAUUUUUAUUGGUACACAUAUUUGUAAAUAUUUAUUGGUACACAGAUUAGCUUAAAUGUGCUUUCAUUCUAAACAGAUAUAUAGAAAAUAGUUUGCCUUGGCUUAGUGCUAGGCCUUGGCGCAACUGCUGACAUUACGACGUAUACACUCACAUAUGUUAGUGACAUGAACAUCUAUAUUUACAUAGCUUAUGGUUGAACCACAUUAGCUUAAGGCUUGGAAGCCACCAAAUGUGGGGUGCCACAUUGUAGGAACUGAUUAACCUCAAAUGGUGUAGAAAGCACUUAUGUUAAAAAAAUAAAAAAAUAAAAAAUAAAAAAAAGGAACAUAUAAGCUAUUUUGUUCUAUGUAAAGGCAAUUAAAAUGUACAUUACUCAUUAUUUGAUUUGUUGCUUUCAUUCUCCAUGAUUGGAAUGUGUCCAUCCUAUUUUGUUUUUCAUUGCAACAUGUCGCAUGCAGAGGUUGUAAAACAGUUGGGAAACUUGUUUAUAGAUGCAGAAGAGGGUUCUUUGGUGAUGUCCUUAAAGAAAUGGACAUUAAGCAAUAAGUUAAUACUUUGAACCAACAAUGGGGAAAUCAACAUAAUAAUAACAGCUUUCUCAAGAGCAUGGAAUACAACCUGCAAAUCUGCUUAGUCUGAAAAGCAACACUCCAAGUGGGAGCUGACUCCAUUUUGAAUGCAUUGCAUAAACAGCACAUUCAAGACAAUCAAGCAUACAAUAUAUAUUAAAAGUGCACCUUUAACCCCUUAAGGACACAUGACAUGUGUGACAUGUCAUGAUUCCCUUUUAUUCCAGAAGUUUGGUCCUUAAUGGGUUAAACAAAACAAUGAUUGCAUCUUUCUGCAUUGAGCAUUUCUUCUGACAAGUAAAUGGCUGAAAUUUCUCAGCCAAUCGUCUGCUCUUUUCCUUUUUUUUUUUUUUAUUGAAUCAUCUUUCAAAUCCCAUGAUGGAAUUGGAGUUCAAAAUAUAUAAAUAUUGGUCAGUGCACACAAAAACAUGCAGAUACUUAAAGACUUUGUAGCACACCAGUCAGGGUUGGCAUUUGCUGGGCAGCGUCAGCUGACACUCUCAGGCCUCCAGGCACCAUAACAAUAUUAUUGAGUUGACGUUGUUAUGGUGUUCAGAGUGUUCUUUUAACGAGCAAAUCUGAUUAGCUUUGUGAAUGAAAGAGAUCAAUAAAACUUGCUUACGUCACAAAUUAAAAUUAAUUCACUUUUCCUUUUUAUAUAGUGAAUGAAUAAACUAGGUGGGCAAAAUAGCUCUUGUCUGCUAUCAACACCAAUGUUUAAGGAACACUAUAGUGACAGGAAUAAAAAUGUAUUCCUAAUGCUAUAGUUUUAACUUAUCUAUGCUAGUUCUCCCCCCUCUCCUGCCCCUGAGCCUCUUUGAGUAUUUCUUAGCUAUUUGGGCAAAUACGCCUUUAGUUUAAAGCACUGCGGAAUAAGCUGGCGCUAUAUAAAUACCAAUAAUAAUCUCCUAAUAAUAAUAAUGGAUGUCUGAGGCACCUAAACCUUGCAACGAAAACAUACACGGUCACAUUCCUUUCAGAAUGGAAGUGUUUCCACUUACAGGGUUAAAAAGAGGGGGACAUGGCACCCAGGCCACUUCAUUGAGAUGCAAUGGUAUUAGUGCCAGAGUCCCUUAAAUGUCAACACCAAUGUUUAUAUGUUAAAAUGCUUUCAAAAGUAAAUUGUUUUUCACAAAUUUUCAUUUCUUUUAGGUCUGGGAGUGUGGCGAGUAACUGGAUUGAGAUCUAUUCAUUUGUAGAGGUACUCACCGAGAGAUUUGUGAGGUAACAUUGUUUACAGAGAUAUAGCAGCACUUUCAAUGUUAUUAUUGAUCUAGG